rnacentral:rRNA from 1 species
CAAUAGCGUAUAUUAAAGUUGUUGCAGUUAAAAAGCUCGUAGUUGGAUUUCGGGGUGGCCUGCCUGGUCCACCGCAAGGUGAGUACUGGUCAGCCGCCCUUCCUCUCGAAAGCCCCGACUGCUCUUCAUUGCAGUGGUCGGGUAGUUCGGGACGUUUACUUUGAAAAAAUUAGAGUGUUCAAGGCAGGCUCUCGCCUGAAUACAUUAGCAUGGAAUAAUGGAAGAGGACCUCGGUCCUAUUUUGUUGGUUUCUAGGGCCGAAGUAAUGAUUAAGAGGGACAGUUGGGGGCAUUCGUAUUUAAUUGUCAGAGGUGAAAUUCUUGGAUUUAUGAGAGACGAACUAGUGCGAAAGCAUUUGCCAAGGAUGUUUUCAUUAA